rnacentral:rRNA from 1 species
AUUGAACGCUGGCGGCAUGCCUUACACAUGCAAGUCGAACGGUAACAGGUCUUCGGAGUGCUGACGAGUGGCGAACGGGUGAGUAAUACGAUCGGAACGUGCCCGAGAGUGGGGGAUAACGAAGCGAAAGCUUUGCUAAUACCGCAUACGAUCUCAGGAUGAAAGCAGGGGACCGCAAGGCCUUGCGCUCACGGAGCGGCCGAUGGCAGAUUAGGUAGUUGGUGGGAUAAAAGCUUACCAAGCCGACGAUCUGUAGCUGGUCUGAGAGGACGACCAGCCACACUGGGACUGAGACACGGCCCAGACUCCUACGGGAGGCAGCAGUGGGGAAUUUUGGACAAUGGGCGCAAGCCUGAUCCAGCAAUGCCGCGUGAGUGAUGAAGGCCUUAGGGUUGUAAAGCUCUUUUACCCGGGAUGAUAAUGACAGUACCGGGAGAAUAAGCUCCGGCUAACUCCGUGCCAGCAGCC